rnacentral:rRNA from 1 species
UAGUAGCUGGUUCCCUCCGAAGUUUCCCUCAGGAUAGCUGGCACUCGUUUCAAAGCGAGUCUCAUCUGGUAAAGCGAAUGAUUAGAGGCCUCUUGGGGCCGAAACGACCUCAACCUAUUCUCAAACUUUAAAUGGGUGAGAUCUCUGGCUUGCUUGAAACUUGAAGCCACGAGAUUAACAUUGUAAAAAUGGAUCAGAGGCCAAGGGCCAAU